rnacentral:rRNA from 1 species
UACGAAGGGGGCUAGCGUUGCUCGGAAUCACUGGGCGUAAAGCGCACGUAGGCGGCUUCUUAAGUCAGGGGUGAAAUCCUGGAGCUCAACUCCAGAACUGCCCUUGAUACUGAGAGGCUCGAGUCCGGGAGAGGUGAGUGGAACUCCGAGUGUAGAGGUGAAAUUCGUAGAUAUUCGCAAGAACACCAGUGGCGAAGGCGGCUUACUGGUCCGGUUCUGACGCUGAGGCGCGAAAGCGUGGGGAGCAAACAGG